rnacentral:rRNA from 1 species
UACGUAGGGGGCGAGCGUUGUCCGGAUUUAUUGGGCGUAAAGAGCUCGUAGGCGGUUUGGUAAGUUGGAUGUGAAAUCUCCAGGCUCAACUUGGAGGGGUCAUUCGAUACUGCCAUGACUAGAGUUCGGUAGGGGAGUGUGGAAUUCCUGGUGGAGCGGUGAAAUGCGCAGAUAUCAGGAGGAACACCGGUGGCGAAGGCGGGUCUCUGGGCCGUAACUGACGCUGAGGAGCGAAAGCGUGGGGAGCGAACAGG